AAAUGAAUUGACGGGGGCCCGCACAAGCGGAGGAACAUGUGGUUUAAUUCGAUGAUACGCGAGGAACCUUACCCGGGCUUGAAAUGCUAUUGACCGGCUCAGAGACGAGCCUUCCCUUCGGGGCAAUAGUGUAGGUGCUGCAUGGUUGUCGUCAGCUCGUGCCGUGAGGUGUCGGCUUAAGUGCCAUAACGAGCGCAACCCUCAUCAUUAGUUACUAACAGGUUAAGCUGAGGACUCUAGUGAGACUGCCAUCGUAAGAUGCGAGGAAGGUGGGGAUGACGUCAAAUCAGCACGGCCCUUAUGUCCGGGGCGACACACGUGUUACAAUGGAUGGUACAACAGGCAGCUACUUGGCGACAAGAUGCUAAUCCCAAAAACCAUUCUCAGUUCGGAUCGAAGUCUGCAACUCGACUUCGUGAAGCUGGAUUCGCUAGUAAUCGCGCAUCAGCCACGGCGCGGUGAAUACGUUCCCGGGCCUUGUACACACCGCCCGU
rnacentral:rRNA from 1 species